AUGAACUUAGCUCAGUGGUUAGAGCACCCUUCUAGAGUUUGGGGAAAACAGGUCAUGGGUUUGAGUCCCAUAGUGCACAUA
rnacentral:tRNA from 1 species